CCCCUCAGCAGCUCCGUCGCGCCGCCGCCUCCAUCGCCUGCAGUGUCCCCUCGGUGCCACCCUCAGAGUGUCCCCAGGACCCCCCCGGGUGUCCCCAGGACCCCUGUUCAGAGGAGCCGCUGCCGGGGUCCGACUCGGACAGCGAGGACCCCGUCCCUGUCCCCAUCCCUGUCCCUGUCACCUCCAAACGACGCCGGGACCUCUCCGAUGACGAUGACAAUGACAAUGACGAUGAUGAUGGCACCAACUCCGGUGGGUCCCGCCCCUCGGGGGUCUCCAAAUGUCACCCCCAGACCCUUUUUGUGACACCAACCCCGUCCCCUCCGUCCUCAGGAGCCGCCGGUGAGGAAAAGGAGGAGGAGGAGGAGGAGGAUGAAGAUCCGCAGCCCCGGGGGAGGAGGAAGCGCCUCCGCUGCCUGGAGGAGGAGGAGGAGGAUGAGGAGGGGGCUUGAGGGGCAUUUUUCUGGGUUUUUCUGCGGAUUUUAGUGGAUUUCUGGAGAUUUUCUGCAGGUUUUCUACAGGUUUUCUGGGGUUUCUGCAGAUUUUCUUGGAUUUCCUGCAGGUUUUCUGCCAGUUUUUUGGGGUUCCUGCAAAUUUUAUUGGAUUUCCUGCACAUUUUCUGGGUUUUUCUGCAGAUUUUAGUGGAUUUCUGCAUUUUCUGCAGAUUUUUUGGAUGGAUUUCUGCAUUUUCUGGGGUUUUUCUGCGGAUUUUAGUGAAUUUCUGCAGAUUUGCUGCGGGUUUUCUACCAGGUUUUUUGGGACUUCUGCGGAUUUUGGUGGAUUUUAGCGUUUUCUGCAUAUUUUUUGGGUGGAUUUCUGCAUUUUCUGGGGUUUUCUGCGGAUUUUGGUGGAUGGAUUUCUGCAUUUUCUGCGGUUUUCUGCGGAUUUUGGUGGAUUUCCUGUAGGUUUUCUGCAAGUUUUCUGCAGAUUUUCUGCCAGUUUUUUGUGGUUUCUGCAAAUUUUAUUGCAUUUCCUGCACAUUUUCUGGUUUUUUCUGCAGAUUUUAGUGGAUUUCUGCAGAUUUUCUGCAGGUUUUCUGGCGUUUUUACAAUUUUUCUGGGCUUUUCUGCAGAUUUUCUUUGAUUUCCUACAUGUUUUCUGAAGUUUCUGCAGAUUUCAGUAGAUUUCUGCGUUUUCUGGUGCUCCUGCAGGUUUUACUGGAUUUUUACAGAUUUUACUGGAUUUGAUACACAUUUUCUGUGGUUUCUGUGGAUUUUUUUUUGCGUUUCUGCAGAUUUUUUAGUGGAUUUCUGCCUUUUCUGAGGUUUCUAUAGAUUUUCUGGGAUUUCUGCAGAUUUUAUUGAAUUUCUGCACAUUUUCUCUACAUUUUCUACACGUUUCUGCAUUUUUUCUGGAGUUUCUACAAAUUUUCUGCCUUUUCUGCAGRUUUUCUGGAAUUUUCUACRCAYU